GUUCCUUGUGGUUCCUCCAAGAUGGCCCCAGGGAGCCUCACCUUCUAGUACACAGGCCCCUGAGCAUUGUCCCCUCCCACAAUGAAUACAGCAGACCUACUGAAGAAGUGACAGUGUAUAACUUUUAAGGUUAGGUCACAAAAGCACUUUGUCUGACUUGGUCUCUUGGAUUGCUCAUUCUGAGGGAAAUUAGCUGCCCUUAAGGUAAUACUAUGGGGGGGGGAGGGGGCACAGAAUCUACCUUUAAAAAAAAAAUCAGUGAUUUCACAAAGUUUCCCACUAACACACCAACAGUGAACAUCUCCUGGAACAGCCAGCAAGUUCAAAAAUCACGAUCCUAUUCAGAUAAAAUCUUAGAAUAUUCUAUAGUCUUCAGUUGGCAAAGGAAGCUUUAGGUUUCUUAUUAUUUAAAUUCUCCUUACUCCACUCUCACUGCCAAGAAAUGCAAUUAGCACAGAAUCCUUAUCAUGAAAGUCCAGGCAUCAUUCACUGCACCACAUGCCCUAGUUCAACACCAACAGGAAAGGUCCUUUUGGACUCAGCAAUUAAUGAAUUGCAGAAAUGAGAGGUCUUUCUUAAAGGGAAACUACUCAUAAGAAAAAACCCCAGGUAUAGGAUCAGAAAACAAAGGCUGAAAAGCUUCAGGAAGAAGGAAAAGUAAGGGAAAUGGAUCCCAUCAGGAGGACAAAUUCAACUGGGCUGCGGCUCUAGGGUACUGGGGAGCAACUGCACAGCAGAGGGUCACUGGAGGACAUGGGAGAGGAAGAAAGCAGCAAAACAAAGGUCCACAUUCAAUGACGGAAACUUGGGGUAAAGAACUGAAUGGGCAAGUACCAACUUCUGCUAAAAAGACAAGUACCAACAGGAGCAAGGUGGUAAGCUGUGGCAAACCCUGCAGCCACUGGAAUCAGAGCUUCAGGUCCAGUGAUCUCUGGUAAAAAGGUUGUU